rnacentral:ncRNA from 1 species
ACAAUGGCGUUGAGAGGAAAAAAUACGCUAUGCGGAUCUUUCAGAGAGCUGCCGUUUGGUGGAAGGCAGCAGUUCGGUAGUGCGAUAACUCGUCCUUGAGCCGGUAUGGUGAAAAUUACAGUAGCUAUACCCGGGAUUCUCCCGUUACAGAGAGGCGCAUUAGUUGAUGCGACAGAGGUGUACAGUGUGAGCUGUGCAUAAAUCAGAGUGGUAACACGGGUAAUAUGCUCGUCUCUUGU